AUCCAGCUGACGAGUCGCGAAUGAAACGAAACGCGCGUCCGGGAU
rnacentral:hammerhead_ribozyme from 1 species